UACGAAGGGGCUAGCGUUGUCCGGAAUCACUGGGCGUAAAGGCGCGUAGGCGGCCUGAUAAGUAGGGGGUGAAAUCCUGCGGCUUAACCGCAGGGCUGCCUUCUAAACUGUCAGGCUUGAGCACAGUAGAGGCAGGUGGAAUUCCCGGUGUAGCGGUGGAAUGCGUAGAGAUCGGGAAGAACAUCAGUGGCGAAGGCGGCCUGCUGGGCUGUUGCUGACGCUGAGGCGCGACAGCGUGGGGAGCAAACAGGAUUACGAAACCCG
rnacentral:rRNA from 1 species